rnacentral:rRNA from 1 species
UUGAAGACGACGACGUUGAUAGGCCGGAUGUGUAAGCGCAGCGAUGCGUUGAGCUAACCGGUACUAAUGAACCGUGAGGCUUAACCUUACAACGCCGAAGGUGUUU